GAAAUGCGAUAAGUAGUGUGAAUUGCAGAAUUCAGUGAAUCAUCGAAUCUUUGAACGCACAUUGCGCCCGCCAGCACUCUGGUGGGCAUGCCUGUUCGAGCGUCAUUUCAACCCUCAGAACCCCUUGCGGGAUCUGGCGUUGGGGAUUGGCAUCCAGCCAGCCCCGAAAUCUAGUGGCGGUCCCUCCGCGACCUCCCCUGUGCAGUAGCGAUACCUCGCAGCGGGACAGCGGUCUGACCACGCCGUAAAACCCCCAACUUCUCAAGGUUGACCUCGAAUCAGGUAGGAAUACCCGCUGAACUUAAGC
rnacentral:misc_RNA from 1 species